GUAUUCCGCUCCAUAGCGUAUAUUAAAGUUGUUGCAGUUAAAAAGCUCGUAGUUGAAUUUCGGGGUCAGUAGGCUGGUCGUGCCACAGGUACGUACUGGUCUCACUGAUUCCUCCUUCCCGAUGAACCGUAAUGCCAUUAAUUUGGUGUUGCGGGGAAACUGGACUGUUACUUUGAAAAAAUUAGAGUGUUUAAAGCAGGCUAACGCUUGAAUACAUUAGCAUGGAAUAAUGAAAUAGGACGUUCGAUCCUAUUUUGUUGGUUUCUAGGAUUGACGUAAUGAUUAAUAGGGAUAGUUGGGGGCAUUAGUAUUCAAUUGUCAGAGGUGAAAUUCUUGGAUUUAUUGAAGACUAACUACUGCGAAAGCAUUUGCCAAGGAUGUUUUCAUUAAUCAAGAACGAAAGUUAGGGGAUCGAAGACGAUCAGAUACCGUCGUAGUCUUAACCAUAAACUAUGCCGACUAGGGAUCGGAUGAUGUUAAUUUUUUAAUGACUCAUUCGGCACCUUACGGGAAACA
rnacentral:rRNA from 1 species